AGUUGUCGGUAAACCGGCACAGCUGGGUAGCUAUGUUCGGAACGGAUAACCGCUGAAAGCAUCUAAGCGGGAAGCCAACCUCAAGAUAAGUUUUCCCUGGGGCUUCGGCCCCCUAAAAACUCCUUCUAGACUAGGAGGUUGAUAGGCAACAAGUGUAAGCACAGUAAUGUGUUCAGCUAAGUUGUACUAAUAAGUUGUGAGGCUUUUUUUA
rnacentral:rRNA from 1 species